rnacentral:rRNA from 1 species
AUGGGGGCAACCCUGACCGAGCAACGCCGCGUGAGUGAAGAAGGUUUUCGGAUCGUAAAACUCUGUUGUUAGAGAAGAACGUUAAGUAGAGUGGAAAAUUACUUAAGUGACGGUAUCUAACCAGAAAGGGACGGCUAACUACGUGCCAGCAGCCGCGGUAAUACGUAGGUCCCAAGCGUUGUCCGGAUUUAUUGGGCGUAAAGCGAGCGCAGGUGGUUUCUUAAGUCUGAUGUAAAAGGCAGUGGCUCAACCAUUGUGUGCAUUGGAAACUGGGAGACUUGAGUGCAGGAGAGGAGAGUGGAAUUCCAUGUGUAGCGGUGAAAUGCGUAGAUAUAUGGAGGAACACCGGAGGCGAAAGCGGCUCUCUGGCCUGUAACUGACACUGAGGCUCGAAAGCGUGGGGAGCAAACAGGAUUAGAUACCCUGGUAGUCCACGCCGUAAACGAUGAGUGCUAGCUGUAGGGAGCUAUAAGUUCUCUGUAGCGCAGCUAACGCAUUAAGCACUCCGCCUGGGGAGUACGACCGCAAGGUUGAAACUCAAAGGAAUUGACGGGGGCCCGCACAAGCGGUGGAGCAUGUGGUNUANUUCGAAGCAACGCGAAGAACCUUACCAGGUCUUGACAUACUCGUGCUAU